rnacentral:lncRNA from 1 species
AUGGAAAUGCAAAGGAUGCUAAGAGACUGCUCCCAACCUCAGUGUCACACACCUACUCCCAAAACCACGGUGUCACACACCUACUACCAAAACCACGGUGUCACACAGCUACUACCAAAACCACGGUGUUACACACCUACUCCAAAACCACGGUGUCACACAGCUACUCCCAAAACCACGGUGUCACACACCUACUCCAAAACCACGGUGUCACACACUACUACCAAAACCACUGUGUCACACAGCUACUACCAAAACCACGGUGUCACACACCUACUCCCACCACGGUGUCACACAGCUACUACCAAAACCACGGUGUCACACAGCUACUACCAAAACCACGGUGUCACACACUACUACCAAAACCACGGUGUCACACAGCUACUACCAAAACCACGGUGUCACACACCUACUCCAAAACCACGGUGUCACACAGCUACUACCAAAACCACGGUGUCACACAGCUACUACCAAAACCACGGUGUCACACAGCUACUACCAAACCACGGUGUCACACACUACUCCAAAACCACGGUGUCACACAGCUACUCCCAAAACCACGGUGUUACACACAUACUACUACAAACCACACAAUCACACACCUACUACCAAAACCACGGUGUCACACACCUACUCCAACCACGUGUCACACACUACUCCCAAAACCACGGUGUCACACACCUACUCCCAAAACCACGUGUCACACACCUACUCCCAACCACAGGGUCACACACCUACUCCCAAAACCACAGUGUCACACACCUACUCCAACCACAGGUCACACACCUACUCCAAACCACUGUGUCACACACCUACUCCCAAAACCACGGUGUCACACACCUACUCCCAAAACCACAGUGUCACACACCUACGACCAACCACGGUGUCACACACAUACUACUACAAACCACACAAUCACACACCUACUACCAAAACCAUGGUGUCACACGCCUACUACAAACCACAGGGUCACACACCUACGACCAACCACGGUGUCACAAACCACAGGGUCACACACCUACCACCAACCACAGGGUCACACGCCUACAACCAACCACAGGGUCACACACUUACUACCAUCCACAGUAUCACACACCUACCGCCCAACCACGGUGUCACACACCUGUCAGGUUGGCAAAAACCCGAAAGUCUGACUCUCCCCUCUGCUGGUGA